rnacentral:snRNA from 1 species
UGAAUUAUCUGGAUGAGGUCUAUGGUUGAUCAUAAAGGACCAUGACCUACAACAGUGACCUUCAUUACACUUUGAAGGGGUGUUGUUCUAGGUCUAUCCAAAUGGUAGAGUUUACAUCAUAAUUUUGUUGUAGAGAGGGCCUGCAUAUGCGUUGUUCUUA